CACCGCCCGUCACACCAUGGAAGUCGAUUGCUCCAGAAGUGGCUGCGCCAACCCGCAAGGGAGGCAGGUCCCCAAGGAGUGAUCGGUAACUGGGGUG
rnacentral:rRNA from 1 species